rnacentral:misc_RNA from 1 species
GAUGAAGAACGUAGCGAAAUGCGAUAAGUAAUGUGAAUUGCAGAAUUCAGUGAAUCAUCGAAUCUUUGAACGCACAUUGCGCCCCCUGGUAUUCCGGGGGGCAUGCCUGUUCGAGCGUCAUUUCACCACUCAAGCCUCGCUUGGUAUUGGGCAACGCGGUCCGCCGCGUGCCUCAAAUCGACCGGCUGGGUCUUCCGUCCCCUAAGCGUUGUGGAAACUAUUCGCUAAAGGGUGUUCGGGAGGCUACGCCGUAAAACAACCCCAUUUCUAAGGUUGACCUCGGAUCAGGUAGGGAUACCCGCUGAACUUAAGCAUAUCAAUAAGCGGAGGA